rnacentral:lncRNA from 1 species
CUGGAGAAGCCACGGCUGCAGUGGCAAUAUUCCUCAUUUGUUUGUGUCAUACAGAGAAUUUAUUUGCAAGAAGAGUCCUGCUCCAAAGAGAAAAUGAAUAGCCAAUAUAUGCGCCAUGAAGUGCGGGGUUGUGAAACCAGUGACCUGAGGAACUUCUGGGAAAAGACCAUUGAACAACAAACUCAAUAUCUGCAAAGUGAAAAAGAACGUCAGCGAAGAAGUGCUCUGACAAAGAAGCCAGGCUCUUUUGCAUGAAGAAGGAUGCAGCAUUUCCACAUGAAGCUUCAGAGUGAGCAGAAUCUGAUUAUGGCAUCUAUCUGUUGCCUGUUCAGGAGCCACAGUGUGUGUCUUCAUCCCUUGUGACUCUUCUUGCAAAUAAAAAUGUAGGAAUUUAAACA